CGCACCUUGCGCCCACCGGUAUUCCGAUGGGCAUGCCUGUUCGAGCGUCAUUACAAUCAAUCAAGCGCCGCUUGGUAUUGGGUCACUCGCCCGGCCCCCCCUUGAGGUGUCGGGCGUACCCGAAAGACGUCGGCAGCGUCACGCGGCUCCAGGCGUAGCGGAAUCGGGGGAUUUUGCGUCGAGCUUUCAUCCCCACGCCUAUGGAUCGCCCGCGGCGUCGCUUCGCCCCGCAGACAUUUCUCGGCCUCCAUGGUCGAGGAAAACCCCCCUUGACGAUUGACCUCGGAUCAGGUAGGAGUACCCGCUGAACUUAA
rnacentral:misc_RNA from 1 species